AUCUCACUCACUUCACAUUUCUCUAAAAUCUUCAUCUUUCAAAAACUACUUUCUUUUUUUUUUCUUCUCAAAUAGUUUAAAAAAAAUAGCAAAAAAAUUACAAGAAAACUAUUUAAUAUAUCAAAAAUGUGUGUUAAUUCUACAAAAUGGAGUGCUUCACAUAUUAAUUAUAUUUCUGGGAAGAAAAAGAAAUCAAAAAGAUCCAAAGUUCAAGUUCAUAGGCUUGCAUGGAGGAAGAAAUAUGAGGAAAAAGCAGCAAAAGGGAAAAAUAUGGAAUUAAAAAACUUGAAGUUGUAUAUGGAAAAUAUGAGUAUAUUAGAAGAAAAUGAGAAAUUAAGAAACAAAGCAAACCUUCUCCACCAAGAAAACCUUGUUUUAAUGUCUGAAUUUCAGAAGAAAUUUUCUAAGUUGGAUCGAGUUUUCUCCACCCUUAAUUUCAUUAAAAAUGGCGCUAGAGUUUAAAUUACGAGUUCAAUCGAACUCAGAGAGCUGUAUUCAGAUGUGUAUUUGUUUUAAUAAAAUAAAUAAAAUAUGUAGUAUAUAUUAGUAAUUUAAAA